AGAGUUUGAUCCUGGCUCAGAUUGAACGCUGGCGGCAUGCCUAUCACAUGCAAGUCGAACGGAAACGAUGGAAGCUUGCUUCCAGGCGUCGAGUGGCGGACGGGUGAGUAAUGCUUAGGAAUCUGCCCAGUAGCGGGGGAUAACCCGGGGAAACUCGGAUUAAUACCGCAUACGCCCUACGGGGGAAAGUGGGGGACUCUUCGGAGCCUCACGCUAUUGGAUGAGCCUAAGUCGGAUUAGCUUGUUGGUAGGGUAAAGGCCUACCAAGGCGACGAUCCGUAGCUGGUCUGAGAGGACGAUCAGCCACACUGGGACUGAGACACGGCCCAGACUCCUACGGGAGGCAGC
rnacentral:rRNA from 1 species